rnacentral:tRNA from 1 species
UAGUCUAUAUCUCAAUGGUAGAGAGAUUGAUUGAUAAUCAAUAGAUGUAAGUUCAAUUCUUACUAGACUAA